GAUCAUGGCUCAGGAUGAACGCUAGCGGCAGGCUUAACACAUGCAAGUCGAGGGGCAGCAUAAUGGGUAGCAAUAUCUAUGGUGGCGACCGGCGCACGGGUGCGUAACGCGUAUGCAACCUACCUUUAACAGGGGGAUAACACUGAGAAAUUGGUACUAAUACCCCAUAAUAUCAUAGAAGGCAUCUUUUAUGGUUGAAAAUUCCGAUGGUUAGAGAUGGGCAUGCGUUGUAUUAG
rnacentral:rRNA from 1 species